CCCAGGUGUUCUUUCAUUUCCUAGAGUUUCGCCAGUCUUGUUCGCGCUUUUUUGCUUAAAGUUACUCAGAGGACCGGUCCUCUUGCUCCCUCAUCAACCACUCGCGCUUCCUUUCCUCCUUCAAGCUUCGCUUCCCUCACUCUAUUUCCUGCAUUUUAGUUUACCUUUGUAUUUUCCGCAUUUUUUGCCUACAUAUAGACCGCUGGUAUUUUCGUCUUUCCUUAAGCAAAGUUCCUGCACCCUAACUCCCCGUAUCUCGCACAUGCCUCCUAAUUUUUUCGCAGCGUGCUCUCCUUCCACCCUCUUACCGCUCUCAACUACUCUUUGCUCUUUCUCCUUGGAACUCUUCUUUCCUUGGAGAACUCGUAUUCCACCAUCCCCUGGCACGGUACCCCCUGAAUUGGAUUUUUCCCGUGUCGCUCGCUUCUUAUUGCAAUCGCCGGAACUCCACUUACGGGUGUCAGCGGUCGCGUGGAUUCUCCUCCGAUCUCACCUCACGACAGCGGCAACCUUGUUCGCGUCUUUUUUCACAGGGGGGCGGAUUUUUGCGACUCGCAAGAGUGGAUUUCUUCCCCGAGCUCUCUCUGAUCCGUAUUCGUGCUCGCAUUCACCUUCUAUGCAUCAAAGUGUCGUUCCCGUCGUCCAUUUCUUCUAUCGUGACGAUGUCUCGGCUUAUUUCCGCGUGUAUUUAUCUCUCCCUCCCUCUCUCUUUCUCUCAACCCUCUGCUUGUUCUCCUCGUAUUUCACGACUGCUCUCCUUAUGCGUUUUCUCGCUUGAUAUCAGUUUGUAUAUUGCACAUUUCUGUAUGGUUAGACGGCGUAUCCCUCAGGUUUCCCCAAUGGCACUCUUUUACCAACGUGCAUAUUCAUUCUUCUUGCGCCCUGUUCCGCGCAACCUAUCUCACCGCGUUCGAUAUACGAGCUAUAUACUUUUUCUCAAGGUUCUUCACCCCCUCGCUACAUCUGUUUUCGAACUGGCUACCAUUCUUCCACCUUCUGCCAUCGUACAAACUUCUUGCUCCAUGUACGCAACUUCAUUAUAGGAGCUGCGACUUGAAGCUGAAGACUCGCCCCCGGAGCGAUAAAUAAGCCUGAGGGGUGGAGGACAAACGCGAGAAACGCCGGUAUUGUUUUACUUUUACUGUAUAAUGAUGACCAACCAGGUGAUAUUUUUCACCAAUAGAGUAAACGAUUUUAAGGAGAAUAUAACAUCUCUCUGUCAUGCUAUACUGUCCGAGGGUUUCAGGUUGCAAUAAGUUCUGCCAAAAUAAGAAUUACGGAGGAAUAUUGAUAAUUUGGGAUCGACUAUUCGGUGUUUUGUCUAUUAAAACUGAUUGAAAAAAGCAAAAGUAUGAAAUCUGCUAACAAUCGACGUCGAAGCAUUCGACGAUAUUCAGCGUUAAGGAGUAUUCAUUUAUGGACUAUCAAUCAGAAAAAGUAUAGAACUAAACACAAGAAUAAUUCCAUCAUAGGGAAUAUGCUUUUCAGCUACGUUAUUGGUCUUACGUUAGUUAUGGAGCACUGUGAACUGUACUUGAUAAUGAUAUUAUAAUAAUAUCUAAUAUUAGUGAUAAUAGAGUGACCUCACUCGAAUGGAUCUUCAACACUUCUAGAAGCCAUCGCGUUCAUCACGAUACCAACAGCUACAACUUGGAUAAAACUUAUGGAGAAGUGUUCAUAAUAUGUGAUCGAAUGUUCUCUACAUUUUAGAAGAAAAGAUGUACAAAACAAUAUUAUGUGCAUAAAAAUAUGAUUUGCAUCUUAGCCUUAAAUAUUUCAAUGUAAAACCUAUCAACCUAUCACAAGUAAGAAUAUCAUGUUAUUAUUAUAUCAUAUCUUUUACAUUGCUAAACUAUAUUCGGUGAUAAUAUAAUAUUAUAAAUACUCGAUAAAUAUCGAUCACCUUUAAUGAUACGUUGAUACGAGAUUUCAAAUCCGCGUAUUUGCGCACAUCGAUGUUCCAUAGACACAUGACUCUACACAAACAGAACUUUUUUUUUAAAUAUCGUGAAGUUAUAUAAGCAACGUACGUAGGACGCGUUUAUAGUCUUAACUGUCGACAGUGUGGACGGAACUCCGACAAUGAUAACGUGGAUGGGAAAAUAUAUAGGGGGGAUAUGGAAACUACGUAAAGUUGAAGAUGAUUCAUCUGAAAUGACAAUCUUUUGUAAUACAAAUUGGCUAGUGUUAUUACUAUUCAUUUUCUGUUUUGGGUUAUAUCAUGUUUUCAUAGUUCUUCAACUACAAUUUAUAUAUCUUCUUUUACUUUGUUGGGAGAUAAUCUACGCAAUCUACUUGCUGCUACCAGUUGGCAAUUAUGAAAAGGUAAAUUUGUGAAUGUAAAAACAUUAAAAUCACAUAAUCGAUUUGAUUUAGUAAUCAUGUGUUAGUGCAGUAAAACUUACAUUAAAAAAUAAUUAACAUAAAUUUCUUGUGCACGUGCGUAGUUAUCACACACGCGUACGCGCGUCAACAAAAUUUUUUAAAUUUAUAUAUUUAAAUUUAAUCAUAAUAAAUAUCACCAUCCAUUAAUUAAUUAAUACACACACCACAAUGUGGUAUAAUUUGGUAAUAGAUCAAACAGAUUAUUUUCCGACUAGUUCUUUUCACUUUCCUUGGACCUAAAAUCAAAUUUAGCGAAAUAUUGAAUGUCAAUUUGAAGUGACACUAUGACCUCUAAAAAUUGUUUAUAUUUACAGGUCAUGGUUUUCUUUUACUGUCUAGUGAUUCUAGAACAGAUCUUCUUGGCUUGGAAAAGAGAAAAGAGUAAUAUGAAGGAGACUGUAGUGUCGUUGAACCAUGGUGUAUAUUAUGAGAGUAUCAAAUUUCUGUUUGGAUGUAAAUUGCAAGAAUCUGUAUAUUUAUUUAUUUACGAGAGAACCGGAAAUAUAAUUGUAAGCAAUUAUUUGUUCGGAUGGGAAGGAUCUAUAUGGUUAGGAUGAUUUAUCGGCGUUAUUGCCACGGAUUUCUGUUACUAUUGGAUCCAUCGUUUUAAACACGAAGUUCAAGUGUUAUGGUGCUUUCAUGAAGUGCAUUAUAGUAGUGAGGUGUUCGAUCUUUCGGUCGGUGUGCGGCAAUCUGUUAUGGAACUUUUCUACGAUUUUAUAUUUUACUCUCCUCUUGCCAUCUUUAUACAUCCGUACUACAUUAUAAAAACCCGUGAAUUUAUUUAUUUAUAUCAGUUGUUCAUACAUACAGAAGUAAUAAAGAAAGUUGGAUCUUUCGAGGGAAUUUUUAAUACGCCUAAUUAUCAACGUAUUCAUCACAGCUUCAACAGGGCCUACCUGGACAAGAAUUAUGGAGGUAUAUUUAUAUUAUGGGACCGCAUGUUCGGUACGUUCAAAGAGAAAGGGAGUGGUCCAAUAGAUUAUAGUAUCCCAGAGAGCCCUCAAUGUUACGGUAUACUAUACCAACAAAUAUAUGGCAUCAUAUGUUGGUUUGUGCACAAGAAGAAUCUACUAUUUACAAGAUUUUGGUUUAAAGCUCUUUUUUACGGGCCUAGAUGGAUACCUGACAACAACGUUAUUAACGAGUCAAUACCACGUUUGGGAUACGAGAAAUGCGUAAGAUACUAUAAACACUUAAAGAAAUAAAAUGACAUGCAUAUUAUACAAUGAUGCAUGCAAAUUAUAUAUAUUAUGACUCGGAAAUAUAAAGAACAAAAUAUAAAGCUAGUGUAUAAUUAUAGUUUCUUUAAUCAGUAUGUCAUUUAAAAUAUAUCAUUUUAUCUUACAAAUAAAAAGUAGACAAUCAAAUGAUAAUAAGGACAAAACAUUCAUAAAUUACUGGGAUAUUCAUUAUAUGUGUUGUAUGCAUUUUCUUAUUGUCAUAAGUGGGUUGGAAAUAUACUCGAUAAGUGUAAGUAUUAAAUGCAAUCCAUCUAGUGUUUACUUUAAAGAACGAAAUAACGAAAAAUUUCAACAAUUUAUGCGUUUAAUAAUUAUUUAUGUAGCAUGUUCAAACGCAUAUGUACGUACAUACAUGAAUAUACGUGUUACUCUGUUAUCUAUAAAUUUCCUAAAAAUCGAUUAAGAGUGACAAUCUUAGUUAUUCGAAUUUGAACAUCAUUAAGUGCUUUUAUGAAUAUGCGGUACCGAAGCAAUUUAAUCUCAUAGAAACAAUAUACCAGAUUCGUAGAAAACAGAAAUUAAUAAGAAUCGAGGUUCUGGCGUGACAGUUGAAAUUUGCAUAGUAUUGUAAUGUUCGUUUUGUAUUUAUUUUCAGGAUAUGGAUUUCUUAAGCAUAACACGUGCAUUUGGAAAACUGCACGCAAGUUUAUGCAUUUGCGCUUACUUUCUCGAAAAUUUGAACAAAACAUAUAUUAUAUUGGCGAAUGUUCUACGGUCUUUAUUUUUGUACAAUUAUUAUUACACUUCCCCUGCAUGGUGCAGUUAUAUAUACUAUCUCACGCUUUAUUACGAUGGACUUUAUUGUUUAGUACUAUUUUUUCAUUAUAUGAUUUAUAUGUUACGUCAAAAACUGGAUUAUACAACCCAAUCUAUAAUAUCCAAAACGGAUCCUCUAAAAGAAUAGUAAAACAAAAGUAAAGUAGUGUAAGUACUGCCAGUAAAACUGAUUAAAAGGUUUUCUUUCUCUAUCCUGCAAAUAUAUUUUUAAGUACCGUGUAGAGAGUAUAAUAUAACCGAAACAGUUUGUUUUUUUAGCAGAAGUUUCUAAAUUUGUUUAAUAUAAUACGAAGAGCAUUUGUCUAAUAAGAUAUGUACGAUCAUUUAACUACAGACAUUAUAUUAAUCUCUGUGAUUCCACUUCCACACUUUUAAGCUAUGAUCAUCACAUAUGUAAAAAUAUAUAUGAAUAAAUAAAUAUUUAACAAGAAAAAUAUUUAUUUAUUGAUAUAUAUGUAAAAAUACAUAUGUACAUGUAAAACUAUUCAUGUUAAUAUUGAUGUGAGAGCAUACAUUUCUUACCAACAAUGGCUGCCACGCAGAAAAUAUGCAAAAUAAUUAUAUUAUUCUUUAGCAUACUACUUCCCUCAAUUUUAUAAUAUGACAUAUGUGAGGAAUAUGUAAUUCUAAUUAUAUUCUAUAUCGUAGUAGUGAAUGAUACAAAAUUAUAAAUGCGUAUUGUGCAUAAAAUAUAUAAUAAUAUGUGUAUGUAUCGAAUUUUUAUUGUAAGAACGGUAUAAAUAAAUUAUGUAAAAGUUUUUAUCACGAUUCCGUAUUAAGAUUAUUUUUAUUUAUUCGAUGUAUUUCCCAAAACAAUUUAGUUUGCACACAACAACGUUUUAAUUUGUGAAAAAUGACUUUUAAAAACUUACACGUUAGACACUUUAGAUAAUAAUUUUGUGAUCACGUCUAAUUCCACACGCAAAAUAUAUUACACAAAAUUAUUAAAAAUAGUUGCUAUUAUUGUUUCACGUCCUCUUUUACAGUUACACUUUACUAUCGUUUAUUGUUUUAUAAUAUGCUCUUCGAUAUUGUUGUAGAUUAAGUAAUAAUAAAUACUUGAUCAAUUAUU